AGGAGAGUUUGAUCCUGGCUCAGGAUGAACGCUAGCGGCAGGCCUAAUACAUGCAAGUCGAACGGUAAAUGCCCCUUCGGGGGCAUGAGAGUGGCGGACGGGUGCGUUACGCGUAUGCAACCAACCCCCGACGGGGGCACAGCCGGUGGAAACGCCGGGUGAUGCCCCAUGCGGCCAAGGCGGGGCAUCCCACUUUGGCGAAAGCCUUCGGGCGGUCGGGGACGGGCAUGCGUGCCAUUAGAUAGUUGGCGGGGCGACGGCCCACCAAGUCUACGAUGGCUAGGGGAUCUGAGAGGACGGUCCCCCACACUGGUACUGAGACACGGACCAGACUCCUGCGGGAGGCAGCAGUAAGGGAUAUUGGGCAAUGGGGGGAACCCUGACCCAGCCAUGCCGCGUGAGGGAAUGAGGCCCUACGGGUCGUGAACCUCUUUUGCCUGGGGACAACCGCGGGGUCGGGAACCCCGCCUGCGGGUACCAGGCGAAUAAGCAUCGGCUAACUCCGUGCCAGCAGCCGCGGUAAUACGGAGGAUGCGAGCGUUAUCCGGAUUCAUUGGGUUUAAAGGGUGCGCAGGCGGCCAUGCAAGUCAGCGGUGAAAGCCCGGGGCCCAACCCCGGAAGUGCCGUUGAUACUGUAUGGCUGGAAUGCGGUCGAGGCGGGCGGAACGUGGCGUGUAGCGGUGAAAUGCGUAGAUAUGCCACAGAACGCCGAUAGCGAAGGCAGCUCGCCAGGCCUGCAUUGACGCUCGGGCACGAAAGCGUGGGGAUCGAACAGGAUUAGAUACCCUGGUCCU
rnacentral:rRNA from 1 species